AGCAUGUGGUUAAUUCGACGCAACGCGCAGAACCUUACUGGCUUGAAAUCUGUGGAAUCUGUAUGAAAGUAUGGGGUGCCCUUCGGGGAGCCGCAAGACAGGUGCUGCAUGGCUGUCGUCAGCUCGUGUCGUGAGAUGUUGGGUUAAGUCCCGCAACGAGCGCAACCCUUGUCUUCAGUUGCCAGCACGUAAAGGUGGGAACUCUGAAGAUACUGCCCCGGUUAACGGGGAGGAAGGUGGGGAUGACGUCAAGUCCUCAUGGCCCUUAUGCCCAGGGCUACACACGUGCUACAAUGGCAUAUACAAAGGGUCGCGAUACCGCGAGGUGGAGCUAAUCCCAUAAACCGAUCGUAGUCCGGAUCGCAGUCUGCAACUCGACUGCGUGAAGUCGGAAUCGCUAGUAAUCGUGAAUCAGAAUGUCACGGUGAAUACGUUCCCGGGCCUU
rnacentral:rRNA from 1 species